rnacentral:rRNA from 1 species
CCUACGGGAGGCAGCAGUGAGGAAUAUUGGUCAAUGGGCGAAAGCCUGAACCAGCCAAAUAGCGUGAGGGACGAAGGUCCUAUGGAUGGUAAACCUCUUUUGUCGGGGAACACAGGCGCCCACGGGUAGGAGGAUGAGUGUACCCGAAGAAGACGCAUCGGCUAACUCCGUGCCAGCAGCCGCGGUAAUACGGAGGAUGCAAGCGUUAUCCGGAUUUAUUGGGUUAAACGGGUGCGUAGGCUGACUGUCAAGUCAGCGGUAAAAAUGCGGUGCUCAACGCCGUACAGCUGUGGAAACUGGCAGUCUUGAGUGGGAGAGAAGUAUGCGGAAUGCGUGGUGUAGCGGUGAAAUGCAUAGAUAUCACGCAGAACACCGAUUGCGAAGGCAGCAUACCGGCGCCCUACUGACGCUGAGGCACGAAAGCGUGGGUAUCGAACAGGAUUAGAUACCCUUGUAGUC